AGAGUUUGAUCCUGGCUCAGAACGAAUGCUGGUAGCGUGGAUUAGGCAUGCAAGUCGAACGGGAUCCGGGAGGUAGCAAUACUGACCGGUGAGAGUGGCGGAUUGGGGAGGAACACGUGAGCAACCUGCCCUUGAGUUCGGGAAAACCGUUGGAAACGACGGCUAAUACCGGAUGUGGCGCCCCGUGACAUCACGGGAGCGCUAAAGGGGGCCGAAAGGCUCCCGCUCAUCGAGGGGCUCGCGCAUCAUCAGCUUGUUGGCGGGGUAACGGCCCACCAAGGCAUACGAUUAGCUGGUCUGAGAGGAUGACCAGCCCCACUGGGACUGAGAUACUGCCCAGACUCCUACGGGAGGCUGCAGUCGAGGAUCAUUUGCAAUGGGCGAAAGCCUGACAAUGCGACGCUGCGUGGAGGAUGAAGGCCUUCGGGUUGUAAACUCCUGUCAUAGGGGAACAGGCGGACCGACCUAAUACGUCGGCGAGUUGAGUGUACCCUAAGAGGAAGCGACGGCUAACUCUGUGCCAGCAGCCGCGGUAAUACAGAGGUCGCAAGCGUUGUUUCGGAUUUACUGGGCGUAAAGGGCGCGUAGGCGGUCCCAUGUGUCGGAUGUGAAAUCUCCGGGCUCAACCCGGAAAGUGCGUCCGAAACUGUGGGACUCGAGUCUGGGAGAGGGAAUCGGAAUAUAGGGUGUAGCGGUGAAAUGCGUUGAUAUCCUAUAGAACACCGGAGGCGAAGGCGGAUUCCUUGAACAGUACUGACGCUGAGGCGCGAAAGUCGGGGGAGCAAACAGAAUUAGAUACCCUGGUAGUCC
rnacentral:rRNA from 1 species